UUUUUCAAUGUUCAUAAAUUCAGAACAAAAAAAAUCUCAUUUAAAAAAUUCAAGUCCUAUAAAUUCAAUAGGCCAAAUUCAGCGUCACAUGACCAACCUAGCAUAACUUGAUUGACAGCUGUCAGUUUGAUUUCAGACAGAAUUGAUUGUUUAUCCUCAGUUUCCUGACAGCAGAGGUGCAUUGUGGGAGUUUUCUCUCCUUCCGUAAAUAUAACUAGCUGUGAAUAUUGUUUCUCCGUUGUCUUUUAUUCUGAUGCGUUUCCUCCUGAGGUUGACCUGUUUCCAUGGUGACAGCGGUGUGUAAGUGGGCGUGUCCGCUGCGUCUGCGCUCUUUGAUCCUAAUUGGCUCAGCUGGCCUCCGACACAAACGCGCGGCAGCAGAAGGCGGUGGACGCUGAGUCCAAAGCCCCGUGUGCCUCUGGGAACACGGUCUGCCUGCAUCCACCUGGGUCGGAUCAGGACGAGCACCACCCGCCGGCCAAUAGGAUUAGAGCAGCAGUGGCAGGGCCCCGCCUCCUGUUUCCACGGUGAUCUAAAAAGGGCAAAUCUCGGUCACAGAUUAAUCAGGCUCGUCGUCAAACGCCGUCAGACGCCGGUUUCUAAUUGAACACGGCGAGCUGCGUCUCCACGGCGACAGACCACAGGCCUCGGCGACCACCGGCGACUGGAGCAGCAUGCGUUUAGCCCCGCCCCCCCCCCCGUCCUCCUCCUCACUGUGUAGCCACGCCUCUGUUUCCUUUAACCCUGUGUUUCCUCACUUGGACCUGUAGCAGCAGCAGAACGCCAGCUCUGAACCUGACGCCAAGAGGUGGGCGGAGCUUACGGUCAAAGGUCACCACAGAAGAAGAAAAAAAACAGUAGAACUGAAAAA